AUGAUAAAGCUCUUCAAGAUGAGCGAUCUCGGUCUCCUCAGUUUUUACUUGGGGAUCGAGGUACACCAGGCUCGAACUGGCAUCUCUCUGAACCAGACGGCCUAUGCCGAGAAGAUUCUGGAGCGAGGCGGCAUGACAGGGUGCAACCCGUGCGCGGUGCCCAUGGAGCCUAGACUGAAGCUCAGCAAGCAGAGCACCGCGCCGCUGACGGACGCGACGGAGUACCGCGGCCUAGUUGGAUGCCUGCGUUACCUGGUUCACACCAGGCCAGAUAUCACUUUCGUCGUCGGCUAUGUCUCGCGGUUCAUGGAGGCACCCACCACCGAGCACCUGGCUGCGGUGAGGAAGAUUCUGCGCUACAUCGCCGGCACACUGCAUUGGGGCUGCUUCUACCCAAGGGGGAAAGGAGAUGGCCACCUCGCCGGAUACAGCGACAGCGACAUGGGAGGAGACGUUUGA
rnacentral:rRNA from 1 species